AAUAUUGGUCAAUGGAGGCAACUCUGGACCAGCAAAGUCGUGUUAAGGAUGUAGGUCUUAUGGAUUGUAAACUUCUUUUUCAAGGGAAUAAAGUGGGGGACGUGUCCUCCUUUGCAUUUAUCUUGCGAAUUAGUAUCGGCUAACUACGUUCCAGCAGCCGCGGUAAUACGGAGGAUCCGAGCAUUAUCCGGAUUUAUUGGGUUUAAAGGGUGCGCAGGCGGGAUGUUAAGUCGGCGGUGAAAUUUUGCAGCUCAACUGUAAAAGUGCCUUCGAUACUGGCUUCCUUGAGUGUGGAUGAAGUAGGCGGAAUGUGUGGUGUAGCGGUGAAAUGCUUAGAUAUCACGAGGAACUCCGAUUGCGCAGGCAGCUUACUAAACCACUACUGACGCUCAUGCACGAAGGCGUGGGGAUCAAACAGG
rnacentral:rRNA from 1 species